AUGCUCCCUUUGGCAGCACAUACACUAAAAUUGGAACGAUACACAGAAGAUGAGCAUGGACCCUGCACAUGGACGUGCAAGUUCGUGAAUCAGUCCAUAUUCUU
ensembl:snRNA U6 U6 spliceosomal RNA